AUUUUACCUCUUCUCCUCUUCAGGCCUGUUUUUCCAGCUUCUAGUUUGAGAUUCGUUCCUCCCACAUUUUGACAUCUGCUGUCAAUCGUGUAAAGGAAACACCAAACUAUUUCUUGGGACCAAAUGUCGUAGGCUUCUUUGGUUCAGUCACUUACAUGGGUCUCUGUCAGUGAGGAAAUACACUUUUAGAUGCUUAAGAAUGGACUCCCCAAUCUCUUGCUGGGUGCCGGGCUAUUCAGAUGAUGGCUUCAGAAAGACGCUUCAUGAGAGUAGUGGCAAAGACUAAAGAGGAGCCCAAAUCUGCUUCUCAUUCUCUUCCCCAACAAUAGACACCCUGUGUUGGAUCAAGUAAGUUGGUUGGGAUAGCGGCUG
rnacentral:lncRNA from 1 species